GGUUACCAGUAUACCCUGGACACAUCUGAUCUUAUCUGAUUUUGGUAGCUAAACUGGAUCUGGCCUGGUUAGUACUUGGAUGGAAGACUUAUCAGGGAAUACUAGGCUCACCA
rnacentral:rRNA from 1 species